rnacentral:rRNA from 1 species
UACAGAGGUCUCAAGCGUUGUUCGGAUUCAUUGGGCGUAAAGCGCACGUAGGCGGAUUGCUAAGUCAGGGGUGAAAUCCUGGAGCUCAACUCCAGAACUGCCUUUGAUACUGGCGAUCUUGAGUCCGGGAGAGGUGAGUGGAACUGCGAGUGUAGAGGUGAAAUUCGUAGAUAUUCGCAAGAACACCAGUGGCGAAGGCGGCUCACUGGCCCGGUACUGACGCUGAGGUGCGAAAGCGUGGGGAGCAAACAGG